rnacentral:rRNA from 1 species
CCUACGGGUGGCAGCAGUGGGGAAUAUUGCACAAUGGGGGAAACCCUGAUGCAGCGACGCCGCGUGAGUGAAGAAGUAAUUCGUUAUGUAAAGCUCUAUCAGCAGGGAAGAAAAUGACGGUACCUGAGUAAGAAGCCCCGGCUAACUACGUGCCAGCAGCCGCGGUAAUAAGUAGGGGGCAGGCGUUAUCCGGAUGUACGGGGUGUAAAGGGAGCGUAGACGGCAGUGCAAGUCUGGAGUGAAAGGCGGGGGCUCAACCCCCGGACUGCUCUGGAAACGGUACGGCUGGAGUGCAGGAGAGGUAAGUGGAAGUCCUAGGGUAGCGGUGAAAUGCGUAGAUAUUAGGAGGAACACCAGUGGCGAAGGCGGCUUAAUGGACUGUAACUGACGUUGAGGCUCGAAAGCGUGGGGAGCAAACAGGAUUAGAUACCCUUGUAGUC